GCCCUCUCAGGGUCAUACCUGGAGACUUUCCAGGACUCCAGUACCAGUCUUGACUAUGAGAGGGAGAGUCAAGCAGAGGCCUAUCCAUUUCAUUCCUAGCUUGGGCAGUGGCUAGCGAGUGGAAGGCAAUCUGCUACAAGU